rnacentral:snoRNA from 1 species
GGAUCGAUGAUGACACCCACAACGCAUUCCUUGGAAAUCUGAACAAAAUGAGUGAGAACUCACUACGUCUCCUCAUCGCAAACUGAGGUCC